GAGUUUGAUCCUGGCUCAGAUUGAACGCUGGCGGCAUGCCUUACACAUGCAAGUCGAACGGCAGCACGGGAGCUUGCUCCUGGUGGCGAGUGGCGAACGGGUGAGUAAUGCAUCGGAACGUAUCCUGGAGUGGGGGAUAACGUAGCGAAAGUUACGCUAAUACCGCAUAUUCUGUGAGCAGGAAAGCGGGGGACCUUCGGGCCUCGCGCUCUUGGAGCGGCCGAUGUCGGAUUAGCUAGUUGGUGAGGUAAAGGCUCACCAAGGCGACGAUCCGUAGCAGGUCUGAGAGGAUGAUCUGCCACACUGGAACUGAGACACGGUCCAGACUCCUACGGGAGGCAGCAGUGGGGAAUAUUGGACAAUGGGGGCAACCCUGAUCCAGCCAUGCCGCGUGAGUGAAGAAGGCCUGG
rnacentral:rRNA from 1 species